rnacentral:tRNA from 1 species
GUUUAUGGCUCAUUGGUAGAGCGUUCGCCUAGCACGUGUGAAGCACUGGGUUCAAUCCUCAGCACCACAUAAACA